AUUUAAAAAUAGAUGAUAUAAUGCGCAGAUUUUAGUGUCGUUGAUAAACGGUAUGCAUAUCUUGGAGUAGACUAAUUGUACAUUGGUACCGCACACAAUUAGCUUAUAUACAGGAUAAUGGAGACUAAUUUGACUAUUUGUGGUAUAUGUAAUUUUCGUCAGAUAACUUAACCAUCAGUAGUUUGGUGUUCCGAAUGUGACGAAGGUCUUUGUCGAGAGUGUACCGAACAUCACCGCAUCUCCAAGGCAACUAGGGGACAUAAUACCAUUUCUAUCGAUGAUUACAAGAAACUGCCACCAACAAUUCUAGAAAUAACACAAACUUGCAGAGACCACAAUGAAAAGAUUCAAAUAUACUGUUAUAAACAUGAUUGUCUAUGCUGUAAAAAGUGCGUUGUGGAAACCCACAACGUGUGCAAAGAACUUUUUGAUAUUAACGAUGUCGUAAAAGAUGUCAAAUCAUCAAAUACGUUCGUGGAUAUCGAACAGACCUUAGCAGAAAUUUCUGAAAAUUUUAAAAGAAUACGAAAAGACCGUGAAGAGAAUCUGACCGCAAUCAAGGAAACAAGAGAAAAAAUAGAGUUAGAAAUAAAAAUGACUAAAUUAAAGAUUGUAAGUUAUCUUGACAAACUCCAAGAAGAAAUAUUGAAAGAACUCAGCAAAACAGAGAAAUCGGAAAGCAAACAAAUACACAAAUUAUUAACAGCAGUACAACAAGCGGAAAAAGACGUUACGGAAUACCAAAAUAACAUAGCGAACAUAAAACAACAUGCAUCAGACCUUCAGACAUUUAUUGCGCUCAAUCGAAUCCAACAUGAUGUAGACGAAAAAGAUAAAUUUAUUCAAACAUUAGUUAACAACAAAGAUUUAAAUCACGCUGUUCUGUCUUGGAAGAUAAGCUAUGAUGUAAAAAAUGCCAAUACCAGUAUCUCGACAUUUGUAAAAAUUGUUGUUGAGUCCAAAUCAAGUGGCAUAGUUAUUGCAAGGAGAAAAAACCGGCAAGCCCAGACCAUGGUUAUGGAUCCGGCUUUGAGAUCUGUCGACAAUCCUUUACGUAAUUGGAUGAGGAGAGCGAAAGGCGAUCCUAACUGCAAACAAUCUUAACAAUAAGGCAUGCGACCUAAUAAGUCAACACAACUUCACGAGAGCCGUUUGAAAAGGAACGGUAGUUAUCACUCAGUAUUGCCAAUUUAAACCGCCAACCUCCAAUAAACUUUCAAACACCGCCCAGAUAAAGCACACGUGCGUAUAAAAUACAAUAAAACAAACAAUUAAUCUGCAUCCAUGGUCUUAUUGUAUUCACGAAUAUGUACAUGGAAAUACUGUGAUAAUUAUAUCGUAUAUUCAUGUCUUAAUUGAAUUAAAUAUCUUCCAGUUA